rnacentral:rRNA from 1 species
CCUACGGGAGGCAGCAGUGGGGAAUAGUGGACAAUGGGGGCAACCCUGAUCCAGCCAUGCCGCGUGUGUGAAGAAGGCCCUCGGGUUGUAAAGCACUUUCAGUGAGGAAGAACGCCUGGUGGUUAAUACCCAUCAGGAAAGACAUCACUCACAGAAGAAGCACCGGCUAACUCCGUGCCAGCAGCCGCGGUAAUACGGAGGGUGCGAGCGUUAAUCGGAAUUACUGGGCGUAAAGCGCGCGUAGGUGGCUUGAUAAGCCGGUUGUGAAAGCCCCGGGCUCAACCUGGGAACGGCAUCCGGAACUGUCAAGCUAGAGUGCAGGAGAGGAAGGUAGAAUUCCCGGUGUAGCGGUGAAAUGCGUAGAGAUCGGGAGGAAUACCAGUGGCGAAGGCGGCCUUCUGGACUGACACUGACACUGAGGUGCGAAAGCGUGGGUAGCAAACAGGAUUAGAUACCCGUGUAGUC